AACGCACCUUGCGCUCCUUGGUAUUCCGAGGAGCAUGCCUGUUUGAGUGUCAUUAAUAUAUCAACCUCUUCAGCUUUGCUUGUUGAGUGUUGGAUGUGGGGGGUAUUAUUUUUGCUGGUCUCUCUUUGAGAUCAGCUCCCCUAAAAUAUAUUAGCGGAACAAUUUGUUGACCGUUCAUUGGUGUGAUAACUAUCUACGCUAUUGACGUGAGGCAGGUUCAGCUUCUAAUGGUCCAUUGACUUGGACAAAUCUUUUAUUAAUGUGACCUCAAAUCAGGUAGGACUACCCGCUGAACUUAA
rnacentral:misc_RNA from 1 species